GACGAACCGUGCAAACGUUAUUCGGAAUCACUGGGCUUAAAGGGCGCGUAGGCGGGCCACCAAGUCAGGGGUGAAAUCCCACGGCUCAACCGUGGAAGUGCCUUUGAUACUGGUGGCCUCGAGGGAGGUAGGGGCGUGCGGAACUCAGGGUGGAGCGGUGAAAUGCGUAGAUAUCCUGAGGAACACCGGUGGCGAAAGCGGCGCGCUGGAUCUCUUCUGACGCUGAGGCGCGAAAGCCAGGGGAGCAAACGGG
rnacentral:rRNA from 1 species